rnacentral:rRNA from 1 species
AACGAACGCUGGCGGCAGGCUUAACACAUGCAAGUCGAACGCUCGUAGCAAUACGGGAGUGGCGGACGGGUGAGUAACGCGUGGGAACGUGCCCUGAGGUACGGAAUAACUGAGGGAAACUUCAGCUAAUACCGUAUGAGCCCCGAGAGGGGGAAAGAUUUAUCGCCUUGGGAGCGGCCCGCGUCGGAUUAGCUAGUUGGUGGGGUAACGGCCUACCAAGGCUUCGAUCCGUAGCUGGUCUGAGAGGACGAUCAGCCACACUGGGACUGAGACACGGCCCAGACUCCUACGGGAGGCAGCAGUGGGGAAUCUUGCGCAAUGGGGGCAACCCUGACGCAGCCAUGCCGCGUGAACGAUGAAGGCCUUAGGGUUGUAAAAGUUCUUUUACCCGUGACGAUGAUGACGGUAACGGGGAAUAAGCUCCGGCUAACUUCGUGCCAGCAGCCGCGGUAAU